rnacentral:miRNA from 1 species
GGCUGGCCAAAAAGUUCGUUCGGGUUUUUAUGUUACAGAAACACCCGAACGAACUUUUUUGGCUAGCCUCAAU